rnacentral:lncRNA from 1 species
GUAUGCAAGACUUGACAAAGCUGAUGAGGGGCCAGAUGGGCCUCGCUCUUAUGGUUUUUUUUUCUUCUUCUUCUUCUUCUUCCUCUCUCUCUCUCUCUCUCUGUCUCUCUCUCUCUCGUCUCUCUUCCUUUCCCCCCUCCACCACUUGGGACCUGAGCGAGAGGACUGCAGCAGGCGAGUUCCGGAAGGCUGAAUCCCCAGGUCCCAGCCCCGGACCGCGGCAACUCGCCCCUGCGGCACGCCCGGCCCGGCUGCGCCCCCACUCAGCGAUGGAGGAAAAAGCCUGGAUGCGAAAGGAUGGGGGAGAACAAAGAGCCUUUGGAAGACGUCGCUGUUAUCUCAUUGUCUGUGUGAUUGGGGGAGCUGCGGCGGGGAGGAUGCUGUGGUCCCUUCCUCCGGCGUUCCCCACCCCCAUCCCUCUCCCCGCUGUCAGUGCGCACGCACACGCGCCGCUUUUUAUUUCUUUUUCCUGGUUUUCUUAUUCCAUCUUCUACCCACCCCUCUUCCUUUCUUUCACCUUUCCUUCCUUCCUUCCUCCUUUCCUUCCUCAGGAGAAAGGCCUCUCUCUCCGUGUUCACAGCGGACCUUGAUUUAAAUGUCCAUACAAUUAAGGCACGCGGUGAAUGCCAAGAAUGGGGCUGGCUGAGCACCGUGGGUCGGCGAGGGCCCGCCAAGGAAGGAGCGACCGACCGAGCCAGGCGCCCUCCGCAGACCUCCGCGCAGCGGCCGCGGGCGCGAGGGGAGGGGUCUGGAGCUCCCUCCGGCUGCCUGUCCCGCACCGGAGCCCGUGGGGUGGGGAGGUGUGCAGCCUGUGACAGACAGGGGCUUAGAGAUGCAAACAGACUCAGGGAGAGAAACAGAAGCUGAUUCUGUGACAGAAGCAGAUCUGUGCAGCACAGAUGCGGUGUGCGUGGGGAGGGGGUCGCCUGGGAGCGCAUUGCGGAGUGCUUGUGUGUGCAGAUUUUUCUCUGGGCUCAGGACUCAUUGUAUGUGGGUCAACACCUUCCUCCGUGACUGUGUUUUUGUUCUGAGCUGAGUUUUUUGGUUUGCCCUUAAAAAAAUAAUAAUUUGGCAUCCAGAGACUGGCAGACUGCCUCAGGGCCUGGACUGCGGAUAUAUUGUGUUCUGCUUGAGGUUUGGGGAGGAGGGCAGGCGGUAGGAAGGGAGAGGGGGAGCUGUUUGUCACACUUUGCUGUAGAGCUGAGAGCACCUGACAAGCUUAAGGAAGUCGUUGGGCUAUGUGGACAAGAAGGAGCCAGCUCCCAGCGGGUUCACAAGCUCUAUCGGAGUUGAAAGCGUGGUCAUGGCUCUAAGGAGCACCUCACGCCCUCCCUGUAGCUGUUAUUGCAGUUUCAGGCAGAGAUCCAGGAGCUGCAGAGGAAGGGAGAGGCACAAUAACCUACAUGGACCCAAGGGAGACAUGUGUUCCUUUAAAAAUGUGAACAGAAGGAAAAACAGAAUGUGUGCAACUGGGGGUCUGAGGAAAGACUGUUUUGAAAGAGGCUGUCAGGGAAUGGAAAGGGUUAAGCUUUUCAUCCUGAAGAACCUGCUUCCCAAAUCAGGCCUUCCUCCCAUCACUAGACCCUGAGCAGCAGCUGGUCCUAGAGACCCCCCUCGUACUGCGCUGCCACAGUCUCAUCCCAUUUCCAGCUCUGUAUUAACCACCAAGCUGCAGCGGAUGGGGCAAGACCUAAGCUCAUUAAUUUCCAGGUGGAGGAAAUGGAGGAGGGGCAGGUCCCUGCAGUAGAGGGAGGAGCAGAGAAAGGAGGCCAAGAGCUGGAUCCUUCUGCCCAGGAAGCCUGCUGCAUCCCUUCCCCCGAGCAUGGCAGAGGCCUGGCUUUGCAAGGCCAAGGCCAUAAGGGAUGCUUAGGAGAUUAAUUUGAUUCCUGACACAAUAAUCAAGCCCUAAGAGUCUCCACUGAAGCUUACUGAGGACUUCUUUCCUCUCCAAAGCCUCAGUCUAGCCUGCUAAAUAAAUUAGUAUUCAGUGAUGCCUUGGAUCAGGGCCCCUCCCCGGCCUCAGUUUCCCCAAAUAUUUAUUAAGUACCUACUGUGUGCAAUCCUUGUGUAAUUAUUAACUCUUAGGCUCUUCAUUUGCCCUCCUAAAGCAGUGUUUAGAGUCAGGCAGAGGUUAAGUGUGUUGCACCUCACCUAGAUACUUCCAGAACCUUCUCUGGGUCUGCAGAAUGUGGCACAACCUGCUUGCCCCCGCAGAGAGAAAGCUGCAGUGCACAUCCUGCAGACUGCAGGUGCUGGGCUGCCUCUGGAGUCCCAGAAGGCAAGCUUGGCUGCAGGACAGAAAGGGAGAACAGCUUCUCUCACCCCUGAGCCUUCACAAGCCCUUGUCUAUUUGCCGUUGCCUUCAAAAUAUACCUCCCCCGAAACCAGUAGCUUUCUGAGUCCUGGUGUCCCCUCCGCCCUUUCUGGACAGGUUUGGGAAGAAGAAAGCAGUCAGUGCUGGGCCUUAUUGGGGUGUGAAGCGCCUUGCUCUGCCCCUUCUGCUCACUGUGAAGGCCGCUGGAUGCUUCUCUUAGGCAUGGUUUAAGCCUCCGAUUACUAAACCCCUUGCCCCACAAACGUCCACAUUGACGAGCCUCUUUUUAGUAACUGCUUCCCCGUAAUUCCUUCAGAGGUUGCUGUACCCUUCGCUGAUGUGCUGCCCUCCUGUAAAACCUCCAGAUGCCUUCCCACGUAAUGCCCCUUUCAGAUGCUUUAAGCUGAGAGCUUAAACCACAGGUACCAUGGCUGACGCCUGCCAGGUUUCUGCUGCAGAUAAUCUAUGAUGGGAGGGGCAUAUUUUUUACUUCAUUACUUAUGUAAACUCUUGUUCCAGAAAGCUUUAAUGUGUGUGGGAGUGUUCUGGGUCUAUUAGGUCUGUGCGCAUGGGUGUGGGCAUUUGCCUGUGUCCACCGGGUGGGUCUCAUUAUGAAAUGUAUGUUUAUGUAGGGCUUUAAUGGCUGAAAAUGGCAAAGAGAUGAAUAGACCACUUGGCCCCAUGUGUAAUUGCCAGGCCCCUUCUGUGCUCAAAUGAGGUGUCCGAGUGAAGGUCAGCCCUUCCCUUCUGUAUUUGGGGCCUAUUUAUGCCACCAGUAAUUUUAUAAGAAAUCUGAAUAGUUCUCCCCUUUGAGUGCAUUUAACUCUUUAGUAUCUUCUCUCUUACCUAUUUGAGCCCCUCUAGCUACAGUCUGGCUUAAAUGAAAGGGGAAUUAUAUGCUUAAGAAAAAGUAGGACACGGUUGAGGCAGUUUGCUGACUGAAUACGCGAAGAAGGACCUGAUGGGCUCAUAUGCACCACUGCCAUCACAGUCCCCAUCGUGAUGCAAGCUUAUAUGAUUCUUGAGAAACAGCCCAGAUCUCCUCUUAAGCGGAAAAGAGAUUGACCUUCUAGCAGAGGCAAAGGUAAACUCCUGUAAGUUACUUCUGUUACCAAAGGGAGGGGGGCGGCUUUUGUGAAUGUAUGAGGAGCUUUUGCCAGAGAGAUAUUCGGAGGAGGGGUGUGCCCAUAUGCACACAUAUAUUUUCCCGCAUAACCGUAUCCAAUGCUAGCAUUUAGAGGAAGGCAUUUAGCCACCAAAAGUCCAUCCAUCUAUGCUGCUUCCACAGAGAAAACAUUUUCUCUUUCCUCCUCUUGAACUUACAUAAUAUCCUCCUCCCAUUCCAACCUUAGAAUGGAGUCUUCUGGGGGCAGCUGCAAAGCGUUCUCCCUAGGACAGAUGGAGCCUCCCUUUCCUCAUCUACUCUGUGGGUGGUUUCAGGGCCCACGAGUCAACAUGAGGAGUUGUGCUGGUGGUAUGUGUGUUGGAGGCUGGGCUGGCUGAUUCACAGUGACGAGGAUGUCAAUAAUAACAAGAAUGAGAAUGAUGGUACCUAAUAAAGACUUUUUUUCCCAAGUCCCAUCUACAAUUCUUUCAUUGGGUGUUUUGCCAAGUCUUUCUCAAUCUCAUCUCAGCUUUUUUUUUUUUUUUAAAGAAAAUGUAUUCAAUACUUAAUUGCAUCACAAAUGUAGACAUAGAAGAAAGGACUUCAAACGGAAUUUAUGGGAGGCAAUGUGUGCGGCUUUUUGCCUUAUAGAGCUGUGUAGAAGGUCUGGAAUGAUCUUCCAGCACCAAAUUUAGAUGGCCUCAAAAAAAAAAAAAAAAAAAAAAAAAUCAGGCCUUAUUGAGGGCAAGGAAUGUUCCAGGUCAGAAAUAAAAGUGUCAGCAACUCUCAAUAGGUUCAUCUUUUUAUUUCCUGUCCUUCUCCCUUUUGUCUUAAAAUAGAAACGCUACCAAGACCUGAGGGCCUGGGUCAGGGGCCGGGAAGCCCAGAAAACAAACUUCCAGAAUCACUAAGGGCUUUCUCUCUCAAAAUUACAGUGGGAGGGUUCUUUUGAAAUUCAAAUCCAACCUAUUUGUUGCUUAAGCACACACAAAAUACUGAGACCUGGGGUCCAAGAGGCAAUACUUCCGCUGCAAGUGCAUGUUGCAACUUCGCGUGAUGUUCCCAGGGCGGUUCUGCGGCAACUUGCGGCUCCGCGACUGUGGGCGCGGGCCCCAUUUCGGGCCCCGUCGGCCGGGACCGCGCCCAGGGCUUCUCAAGUGACUCGCUUCCCAGCACGCAAGAGGCAUUCUCGUCUCUUUCUCUUCGAAUGCACCCGAGACUUCUCCAUGAAGCAAGGAGAAGAUGAGCAGGCGCUGGUUUCCCUUUUCUUUUUUGCUCCCAUUUCCCAGUCUUGAUUUUUUUUUUCCCUUUCUCUCUCUCUCCCGAAUCAUGCAGACCUGGAACUCCUAAGAUUCGGGUCCUCCUGCAGUUCCCAAAGCUUUGGAUCCAUCCGAGGUGUGGGUAGAUGCGGGUUAGUCUCAGGGUCUUUCUAGGAUGAGCCCCAAGCCCAAGUUCUAAGGCGAGGGGGAGGCGAAGAGGUCAGGGCUACAAACGCCAGGGACUGUCCCCGGAGAGGUCAUUUUUCCAUUUUCCAUGCACAUCGAUUUCACUCUAGCGCCAGAUGGACACUCGACGGUCAACGUUAGAGAUUUUUCCGGAGUCGGGGGCAGGAAGCGGGACGAAUUGAGACGAGGGUACAUCCUUUGCUUCCAAGGGUGGCCGAGCCAGACCGAAGGCCUGGGCGGGAGGUCACGUCCUCCCCUGGCCACCCACAGCGCUCCCCAGCCGCAGGCCUGGGCCUAGAAGCCGCGCCCUCCCGGCCGUGCAGCCGGUCAGCCUGUGCGCCCGGCGCCCGCAGUGCGGCUCCGGGCCUCUCUCUGAUCCACUUCAGUACCUGCGGCCUCGAGGACCCCACCGUGCAUCCCGGAAAGCCUCAGAACUUGCAAGAAAGAGGGGCUGGCAGGUGCAGCCUGGGAAGAGGACCCCGCCGCGAAAGCGCUUGGGGGUUGGGUUUUAUUUGCUGGAGUGGGGGGUCCGUCUCAGUGCAUCCUCCUGGAUUCCCCAUUAGGACGCCCCGCCCAUACAUCCAGCCUCCUCUCCCGGAUACCCCCAGUGACCCGGCCAGGGAGCGGGCAUCUUCCCCCAGGACCCAGAGACGUGUCCUCGCCAUCCCCAAACACCGUCCUUCCCCACCCCCGCAACCCUCUCCACAGAAGCCAAAACCACAACAAAAAUCUUCAACCCACAAAGAAAAAGACACAUUCCUCCUUCGGCCUUAGUCAGCGUUAGUUCCAGAUCCGAAGCCGGAGGGGACGGAGCCGCUCGAAGUCGGUUGGAAGGAAGGCGCAGAAGGCUCUUUCUGUCUCCAUGAAUCUCCUUGCAAAUGCAACCGCUGCUGCCAUUAGGACGCGGUCUCUGUUUGCAAAAAAAACUCAAUUCCUUCCAUUUCCUCAUCUGUUGGGUCCAUCAGCGUGCAGUGAGUGAUGCAAGGUCCCUUUGGGUCAACAGGCCGUCCCCUGAAAUAACUUUCAGAGCCCUGGCCUCAAGGUCAUGGGCCGGGUGGCCUCUACAGGCCACAGGUCAGGACCAGGAUGUGCCUGACUGAGGCUGUGCCACCGAGAGCUUCGGACGUGCAGAAAGGUGCCCUGAGCUGCACGGGGGGCUUCUGUCAGCCCCCUCCCACUCUACACAGAUUGAUGUGGCAAUAUUUAUUCCCAUUUAAUUGAGACACUGGUUUAAUUUCAGAUUGCUUCGGCUUAAGGCCCAAUGGGGUUUUCUGCAGCUCUUUUCCCCAGUGCCUCUACAGAAAUUAAUUGCUGUUAAUAUCCAAUUUUGGCUUUAUUAUUCGUUAGCCAAUUAUGUAUCCCAUAGCCCAGGCCCCUUGCUGCUCUCAGCCUUUGCUGGAAUCAGCUCACACUAUGCCGGGCUUCUGCUUUUCUGCCUUCCCCUCUAUUCAAACUCUGUCCUCCCAAGAUGAUUUACCGGCCCGUCAGGCAUUUUGCUUGUGUCCCAGCGCUAGCUGAGCUGGCGGAGGUGUCUUUAAGACGUUUUCCCCCUUUUGAGGGAAAUGUCUUCUUUGCAGUGGACAUAAUUUCCAUUUAAAAAGGAAUCUAAGCUUCUCCACUCUCGCUUCACUAUCCUAAGAUUUGCUUUCUCUGGAGCCAUUUUUGGAGAGCAGUUUUCCAUCAAAAGCAAGCAAGGUGCCCCGGCAUCAGGGCUCCCCUCCCCACCUCCCUAGGAGCCCCUCCGAGACUGUCUUAAAGCCACCACAUAUACAUAACACCAUAGAUUCAAACAGGGUGCUUGGAGGAUGUCAUUCCACAUUUCAAGGAGGGAAACUUGAAAAAGCACUAUUUUCAGAGAUGAGGAGGGCAGCUCUCCCCUCGUCCCCCACAGAGGCCCUGGAAACCAUUCCAGCCUUGCACUGCGCAACCCUGCUUGAUGGAGCUGAUGCAACUGGGGGCGAGAGCCUUUAAAAAGUGUUCUUUUGCCUUGGUUUUUUGUGCCUUGAGUUCACAGAAGCAAACACUUCCCAUCACUGGUGCUCUGGAAACAGAAACAUACAAGUGAGAAUCCUAACGACAGCAGAGGCCCUUCUUUGUCUGCUUCCUCUCCUUCCCCCCUUGGAAAGAAUGCCUCCCAUGCCUUAAUGUGCCCUCACACUUAUCUCUAGCAGUUCCGUAACAACCUGCGCAGUGUCGGCAUCAGAACCGAAUGCAGAGAAAACAAAACGUCAGAGCCGCUGGCUUGGACUGCGGCCCCUACAGAUGAAGCCCGAGGUGGGAGGUUUUCUUCUCCGCCUGGAAAUCCUAUGGUCAGAUUUGUCGUAGGGGGGAGGUGGGUGGUGACUGUGGUGGAGGGCUGGGACAUUGUUAAGAAGGUGCCUUACGCAGAAGGCUCAAUAAAUACCACCCAAAUUGGAUGUAAUUAAAUUAGCAGCAGCUGUCCUGCUUUUCCUGUUGAAAGCUACAAUUAGGCAUGAAGGCCUCCUGGGCAAAGGCUAGUUAGAGUGGCGUCCUAGGAAAGGAGGGGGCUAACAGUGUUUCUGGUUCAUCUUCUAUCCUCAGCCCCUGCCUAGCUUGUCCAGAGGCAUGGAGUUUCUUUUCUUUUCUUUUCUUUUCUUUUUUUGUUUGCUCGUUUGUUUGUUUUUGAGAUGGAGUCUGGCUCUGUUGCCCAGGCUGGAAUGCAGUGGCAUGAUCUCGGCUCACUGCAACCUCGGUCUCCCAGUUUCAAGAGAUUCUUCUGCCUCAGCCUCCCGAGGAGCUGGGAUUACAGGCAUGCAUCACCAUGCCUGUCUCAUUUUUUGUAUUUUCAAUAGAGACAGGGUUUCACCAUGUCGGCCACGUGAAUUGGUAAUAUUCCAAAAAUAUUACCAAAGGACUGCCUAUGGUCUUGAAAUCCCGACCUCAGGUGACCCACUCGCCUUGGCCUCCCACAGUGCUGGAAUUACGGGCAGGAGCCACCGCACCCAGCUGAGUUUUAUUUUUAAAAUAGUCCAAGCAUAAAGACCCCACAUACCGUGCCC